AUCGCUUCUUGGCCUUUUGGCUAAGAUCAAUUUUAGUAUCUGUUCUUAUCAGUUUAAUAUCUGAUAAACUCUGGGAGUUGGUGAUGGACAGGGAGGCCUGGUAUGCUGCAAUCCAUAGGUUCACAAAGAGUU
ensembl:snRNA U2 U2 spliceosomal RNA